CCUACGGGUGACAGCAGUCGAGAAUCAUUCACAAUGGGGGAAACCCUGAUGGUGCGACGCCGCGUGGGGGAAUGAAGGUCUUCGGAUUGUAAACCCCUGUCAUGUGGGAGCAAAUUAAAAAGAUAGUACCACAAGAGGAAGAGACGGCUAACUCCGUGCCAGCAGCCGCGGUAAUACAGAGGUCUCAAGCGUUGUUCGGAAUCACUGGGCGUAAAGCGUGCGUAGGCUGUUUCGUAAGUCGUGUGUGAAAGGCGCGGGCUCAACCCGCGGACGGCCCAUGAUACUGCGAGACUAGAGUGAUGGAGGGGGAACCGGAAUUCUCGGUGUAGCAGUGAAAUGCGUAGAUAUCGAGAGGAACACUCGUGGCGAAGGCGGGUUCCUGGACAUUAACUGACGCUGAGGCACGAAGGCCAGGGGAGCGAAAGGGAUUAGAUACCCUAGUAGUC
rnacentral:rRNA from 1 species